rnacentral:rRNA from 1 species
AGGGUUUGAUCCUGGCUCAGAACGAACGCUGGCGGCAGGCCUAAUACAUGCAAGUCGAGCGCGCCCUUCGGGGUGAGCGGCGGACGGGUGAGUAACGCGUGGGAAUAUGCCCUUCUCUAAGGAAUAGCCUCUGGAAACGGAGAGUAAUACCUUAUACGCCCUUUGGGGGAAAGAUUUAUCGGAGAAGGAUUAGCCCGCGUUAGAUUAGGUAGUUGGUGGGGUAAUGGCCUACCAAGCCUACGAUCUAUAGCUGGUUUGAGAGGAUGAUCAGCCACACUGGGACUGAGACACGGCCCAGACUCCUACGGGAGGCAGCAGUAGGGAAUCUUAGACAAUGGGGGCAACCCUGAUCUAGCCAUGCCGCGUGUGUGAUGAAGGCCCUAGGGUCGUAAAGCACUUUCGCCAGAGAUGAUAAUGACAGUAUCUGGUAAAGAAACCCCGGCUAACUCCGUGCCAGCAGCCGCGGUAAUACGGAGGGGGUUAGCGUUGUUCGGAAUUACUGGGCGUAAAGCGCACGUAGGCGGAUUAGUAAGUUAGAGGUGAAAUCCCAGGGCUCAACCCUGGAACUGCCUUUAAUACUGCUAGUCUUGAGUUCGAGAGAGGUAAGUGGAAUUCCGAGUGUAGAGGUGAAAUUCGUAGAUAUUCGGAGGAACACCAGUGGCGAAGGCGGCUUACUGGCUCGAUACUGACGCUGAGGUGCGAAAGUGUGGGGAGCAAACAGGAUUAGAUACCCUGAUAGUCCACACCGUAAACGAUGAAUGCCAGACGUCAGCAAGUAUACUUGUUGGUGUCACACCUAACGGAUUAAGCAUUCCGCCUGGGGAGUACGGUCGCAAGAUUAAAACUCAAAGGAAUUGACGGGGGUC